UCGGGAAUUUUGGGCAAUGGGCGAAAGCCUGACCCAGCAACGCCGCGUGAAGGAUGAAGUAUUUCGGUAUGUAAACUUCGAAAGAAUAGGAAGAAUAAAUGACGGUACUAUUUAUAAGGUCCGGCUAACUACGUGCCAGCAGCCGCGGUAAUACGUAGGGACCAAGCGUUGUUCGGAUUUACUGGGCGUAAAGGGCGCGUAGGCGGCAAUUCAAGUCAUCUGUGAAAUCUCCGGGCUUAACUCGGAACGGUCAGAUGAUACUGCUUUGCUAGAGUGCAGAAGGGGCAAUCGGAAUUCUUGGUGUAGCGGUGAAAUGCGUAGAUAUCAAGAGGAACACCUGAGGUGAAGACGGGUUGCUGGGCUGACACUGACGCUGAGUGAGCGAAAGCCAGGGGAGCAAACGGGAUUAGAUACCCUGGUAGUCCCUGAGCGGGCUGGCAAGGCGCAU
rnacentral:rRNA from 1 species